rnacentral:rRNA from 1 species
CCUACGGGCGGCAGCAGUGGGGAAUAUUCCACAAUGGGGGAAACCCUGAUGCAGCAACGCCGCGUGAGUGAAGAAGUAUUUCGGUUCGUAAAGCUCUAUCAGCAGUGAAGAAGAUUACGGUUCGUGACUAACAUUUCUCUGCUAACUACUAGCCAGCAGCCGCGGUAAGACUUAGGGGGCAAGCGUGAUCCGGAUUUACUGGGUGUAAAGGGAGCGCAGACGGUUAGACAAGUCUGAAGUGAAAGCCCGGGGCUCAACCCCGGGACUGCAUUGGAAACUGCCUGACUGGAGUGCUGAAGAGGAGAGCGGAAUUCCAAGUGUAGCGGUGGAAUGCGUAGAUAUAAGGAAGAACACCAGUGGCGAAGGCGGCUUGCUGGACAGUAACUGACGUUGAGGCUCGAAAGCAUGGGGAGCAAACAGGAUUAGAUACCCGUGUAGUC